rnacentral:rRNA from 1 species
AUUGAACGCUGGCGGCAUGCCUUACACAUGCAAGUCGAACGGCAGUACGGGUGCUUGCACCUGGUGGCGAGUGGCGAACGGGUGAGUAAUACAUCGGAACAUGUCCUGUAGUGGGGGAUAGCCCGGCGAAAGCCGGAUUAAUACCGCAUACGAUCUACGGAUGAAAGCGGGGGGCCUUCGGGCCUCGCGCUAUAGGGUUGGCGGAUGGCUGAUUAGCUAGUUGGGUGGGGUAAAGGCCUACCAAGGCGACGAUCAGUAGCUGGUCUGAGAGGACGACCAGCCACACUGGGACUGAGACACGGCCCAGACUCCUACGGGAGGCAGCAGUGGGGAAUUUUGGACAAUGGGCGAAAGCCUGAUCCAGCAAUGCCGCGUGUGUGAAGAAGGCCUUCGGGUUGUAAAGCACUUUUGUCCGGAAAGAAAUCCUUGGCCCUAAUACGGUCGGGGGAUGACGGUACCGGAAGAAUAAGCACCGGCUAACUACGUG